rnacentral:rRNA from 1 species
UUUUAUGAGAGUUUGAUCCUGGCUCAGGACGAACGCUGGCGGCGUGCCUAAUACAUGCAAGUCGAACGCUUCUUUUUCCACCGGAGCUUGCUCCACCGGAAAAAGAGGAGUGGCGAACGGGUGAGUAACACGUGGGUAACCUGCCCAUCAGAAGGGGAUAACACUUGGAAACAGGUGCUAAUACCGUAUAACAAUCAAAACCGCAUGGUUUUGAUUUGAAAGGCGCUUUCGGGUGUCGCUGAUGGAUGGACCCGCGGUGCAUUAGCUAGUUGGUGAGGUAACGGCUCACCAA